GAUGAACGCUAGCGGCAGGCCUAAUACAUGCAAGUCGAACGGGUGGUAGCAAUACCACUAGUGGCGCACGGGUGCGUAACGCGUAACCAACCUACCUGGAUCUGGGGGAUAGCCCGCCGAAAGGCGGAUUAAUACCGCAUACGCCCGGUUUCUGGCAUCAGAAGCUGGGGAAAGAUUUAUUGGAUUCAGAUGGGGUUGCGUAGCAUUAGCUAGUUGGCGGGGUAGAGGCCCACCAAGGCGACGAUGCUUAGGGGACCUGAGAGGGUGAUCCCCCACACUGGCACUGAGAUACGGGCCAGACUCCUACGGGAGGCAGCAGUAGGGAAUAUUGGGCAAUGGGCGAGAGCCUGACCCAGCCAUGCCGCGUGCCGGAUGAAGGCCUUCUGGGUUGUAAACGGCUUUUCUCAGGGAAGAAAAAGAGGAUGCGUCCUAAACUGACGGUACCUGAGGAAUAAGCACCGGCUAACUCCGUGCCAGCAGCCGCGGUAAUACGGAGGGUGCAAGCGUUGUCCGGACUUAUUGGGUUUAAAGGGUGCGUAGGUGGCCUUGCAAGUCCGUGGUGAAAGCCUGCUGCUCAACAGCAGAACUGCCAUGGAUACUACAGGGCUUGAGUCCAGACGAGGUUGGCGGAAUGGAAGAUGUAGCGGUGAAAUGCAUAGAUAUCUUCCAGAACCCCGAUUGCGUAGGCAGCUGACUAGGCUGGUACUGACACUGAGGCACGAAAGCGUGGGGAGCGAACAGGAUUAGAUACCCUGGUAGUCCACGCCGUAAACGAUGGAUACUCGUUGCUAGCGAUACACCGUUAGUGACUUAGCGAAAGCGUUAAGUAUCCCACCUGGGGAGUACGCUCGCAAGAGUGAAACUCAAAGAAAUUGACGGGGGCCCGCACAAGUGGUGGAGCAUGUGGUUUAAUUCGAUGAUACGCGAGGAACCUUACCUAGGCUAGAAUGCGCGUGACCGGUUCAGAGAUGAGCCUUUCCUUCGGGACACAAAGCAAGGUGCUGCAUGGCCGUCGUCAGCUCGUGCCGUGAGGUGUUGGGUUAAGUCCCGCAACGAGCGCAACCCCUAUGGUUAGUUGCCAGCACGUAAUGGUGGGGACUCUAGCCAGACUGCCUGCGCAAGCAGUGAGGAAGGCGGGGACGACGUCAGGUCAUCAUGGCCCUUACGCCUAGGGCUACACACGUGCUACAAUGGACGGUACAGAGGGUCGCUACACUGCGAAGUGAUGCCAAUCUCAUAAAGCCGUUCUCAGUUCGGAUCGGAGUCUGCAACUCGACUCCGUGAAGCUGGAAUCACUAGUAAUCGCGUAUCAGCAAUGACGCGGUGGAUACGUUCCCGGGCCUCACACCGCCCGUC
rnacentral:rRNA from 1 species